UACGAAGGGGGCUAGCGUUGUUCGGAAUUACUGGGCGUAAAGCGCGUGUAGGCGGGUCUUUAAGUCAGGGGUGAAAUGCCAAGGCUCAACCUUGGAACUGCCUUUGAUACUGGAGACCUUGAGUCCGGGAGAGGUGAGUGGAAUUGCGAGUGUAGAGGUGAAAUUCGUAGAUAUUCGCAAGAACACCAGUGGCGAAGGCGGCUCACUGGCCCGGAACUGACGCUGAGACGCGAAAGCGCGGGGAGCAAACAGG
rnacentral:rRNA from 1 species